AACGAACGCUGGCGGCAUGCCUAACACAUGCAAGUCGAACGAGAUCUUCGGGUCUAGUGGCGCACGGGUGCGUAACGCGUGGGAAUCUGCCCUUUGGUUCGGAAUAACAGGUGGAAACGACUGCUAAUACCGGAUGAUGACGAAAGUCCAAAGAUUUAUCGCCAGAGGAUGAGCCCGCGUAGGAUUAGCUAGUUGGUGUGGUAAAGGCGCACCAAGGCGACGAUCCUUAGCUGGUCUGAGAGGAUGACCAGCCACACUGGGACUGAGACACGGCCCAGACUCCUACGGGAGGCAGCAGUGGGGAAUAUUGGACAAUGGGCGAAAGCCUGAUCCAGCGAUGCCGCGUGAGUGAUGAAGGCCUUAGGGUUGUAAAGCUCUUUUACCCGGGAUGAUAAUGACAGUACCGGGAGAAUAAGCUCCGGCUAACUCCGUGCCAGCCGCCGCAGUAA
rnacentral:rRNA from 1 species